rnacentral:rRNA from 1 species
GAGAGUUUGAUCCUGGCUCAGUACGAACGCUGGCGGCGUGCCUAAUACAUGCAAGUCGAGCGGACAGAUGGGAGCUUGCUCCCUGAUGUUAGCGGCGGACGGGUGAGUAACACGUGGGUAACCUGCCUGUAAGACUGGGAUAACUCCGGGAAACCGGGGCUAAUACCGGAUGGUUGUUUGAACCGCAUGGUUCAAACAUAAAAGGUGGCUUCGGCUACCACUUACAGAUGGACCCGCGGCGCAUUAGCUAGUUGGUGAGGUAACGGCUCACCAAGGCAACGAUGCGUAGCCGACCUGAGAGGGUGAUCGGCCACACUGGGACUGAGACACGGCCCAGACUCCUACGGGAGGCAGCAGUAGGGAAUCUUCCGCAAUGGACGAAAGUCUGACGGAGCAACGCCGCGUGAGUGAUGAAGGUUUUCGGAUCGUAAAGCUCUGUUGUUAGGGAAGAACAAGUACCGUUCGAAUAGGGCGGUACCUUGACGGUACCUAACCAGAAAGCCACGGCUAACUACGUGCCAGCAGCCGCGGUAAUACGUAGGUGGCAAGCGUUGUCCGGAAUUAUUGGGCGUAAAGGGCUCGCAGGCGGUUUCUUAAGUCUGAUGUGAAAGCCCCCGGCUCAACCGGGGAGGGUCAUUGGAAACUGGGGAACUUGAGUGCAGAAGAGGAGAGUGGAAUUCCACGUGUAGCGGUGAAAUGCGUAGAGAUGUGGAGGAACACCAGUGGCGAAGGCGACUCUCUGGUCUGUAACUGACGCUGAGGAGCGAAAGCGUGGGGAGCGAACAGGAUUAGAUACCCUGGUAGUCCACGCCGUAAACGAUGAGUGCUAAGUGUUAGGGGGUUUCCGCCCCUUAGUGCUGCAGCUAACGCAUUAAGCACUCCGCCUGGGGAGUACGGUCGCAAGACUGAAACUCAAAGGAAUUGACGGGGGC